AUUGAACGCUGGCGGCAGGCCUAACACAUGCAAGUCGAACGGUAACAGGAAGAAGCUUGCUUCUUUGCUGACGAGUGGCGGACGGGUGAGUAAUGUCUGGGAAACUGCCUGAUGGAGGGGGAUAACUACUGGAAACGGUAGCUAAUACCGCAUAACGUCGCAAGACCAAAGAGGGGGACCUUCGGGCCUCUUGCCAUCGGAUGUGCCCAGAUGGGAUUAGCUAGUAGGUGGGGUAACGGCUCACCUAGGCGACGAUCCCUAGCUGGUCUGAGAGGAUGACCAGCCACACUGGAACUGAGACACGGUCCAGACUCCUACGGGAGGCAGCAGUGGGGAAUAUUGCACAAUGGGCGCAAGCCUGAUGCAGCCAUGCCGCGUGUAUGAAGAAGGCCUUCGGGUUGUAAAGUACUUUCAGCGGGGAGGAAGGGAGUAAAGUUAAUACCUUUGCUCAUUGACGUUACCCGCAGAAGAAGCACCGGCUAACUCCGUGCCAGCAGCCGCGGUAAUACGGAGGGUGCAAGCGUUAAUCGGAAUUACUGGGCGUAAAGCGCACGCAGGCGGUUUGUUAAGUCAGAUGUGAAAUCCCCGGGCUCAACCUGGGAACUGCAUCUGAUACUGGCAAGCUUGAGUCUCGUAGAGGGGGGUAGAAUUCCAGGUGUAGCGGUGAAAUGCGUAGAGAUCUGGAGGAAUACCGGUGGCGAAGGCGGCCCCCUGGACGAAGACUGACGCUCAGGUGCGAAAGCGUGGGGAGCAAACAGGAUUAGAUACCCUGGUAGUCCACGCCGUAAACGAUGUCGACUUGGAGGUUGUGCCCUUGAGGCGUGGCUUCCGGAGCUAACGCGUUAAGUCGACCGCCUGGGGAGUACGGCCGCAAGGUUAAAACUCAAAUGAAUUGACGGGGGCCCGCACAAGCGGUGGAGCAUGUGGUUUAAUUCGAUGCAACGCGAAGAACCUUACCUGGUCUUGACAUCCACAGAACUUUCCAGAGAUGGAUUGGUGCCUUCGGGAACUGUGAGACAGGUGCUGCAUGGCUGUCGUCAGCUCGUGUUGUGAAAUGUUGGGUUAAGUCCCGCAACGAGCGCAACCCUUAUCCUUUGUUGCCAGCGGUCCGGCCGGGAACUCAAAGGAGACUGCCAGUGAUAAACUGGAGGAAGGUGGGGAUGACGUCAAGUCAUCAUGGCCCUUACGACCAGGGCUACACACGUGCUACAAUGGCGCAUACAAAGAGAAGCGACCUCGCGAGAGCAAGCGGACCUCAUAAAGUGCGUCGUAGUCCGGAUUGGAGUCUGCAACUCGACUCCAUGAAGUCGGAAUCGCUAGUAAUCGUGGAUCAGAAUGCCACGGUGAAUACGUUCCCGGGCCUUGUACACACCGCCCGUCACACCAUGGGAGUGGGUUGCAAAAGAAGUAGGUAGCUUAACCUUCGGGAGGGCGCUUACCACUUUGUGAUUCAUGACUGGGGUGAAGUCGUAACAAGGUAACCGUAGGGGAACCUGCGGUUGGAUCACCUCCUUACCUUAAAGAAGCGUUCUUUGAAGUGCUCACACAGAUUGUCUGAUGAAAAUGAGCAGUAAAACCUCUACAGGCUUGUAGCUCAGGUGGUUAGAGCGCACCCCUGAUAAGGGUGAGGUCGGUGGUUCAAGUCCACUCAGGCCUACCAAAUUUGCACGGCAAAUUUGAAGAGGUUUUAACUACAUGUUAUGGGGCUAUAGCUCAGCUGGGAGAGCGCCUGCUUUGCACGCAGGAGGUCUGCGGUUCGAUCCCGCAUAGCUCCACCAUCUCUGUAGUGAUUAAAUAAAAAAUACUUCAGAGUGUACCUGCAAAGGUUCACUGCGAAGUUUUGCUCUUUAAAAAUCUGGAUCAAGCUGAAAAUUGAAACACUGAACAACGAAAGUUGUUCGUGAGUCUCUCAAAUUUUCGCAACACGAUGAUGAAUCGAAAGAAACAUCUUCGGGUUGUGAGGUUAAGCGACUAAGCGUACACGGUGGAUGCCCUGGCAGUCAGAGGCGAUGAAGGACGUGCUAAUCUGCGAUAAGCGUCGGUAAGGUGAUAUGAACCGUUAUAACCGGCGAUUUCCGAAUGGGGAAACCCAGUGUGUUUCGACACACUAUCAUUAACUGAAUCCAUAGGUUAAUGAGGCGAACCGGGGGAACUGAAACAUCUAAGUACCCCGAGGAAAAGAAAUCAACCGAGAUUCCCCCAGUAGCGGCGAGCGAACGGGGAGCAGCCCAGAGCCUGAAUCAGUGUGUGUGUUAGUGGAAGCGUCUGGAAAGGCGUGCGAUACAGGGUGACAGCCCCGUACACAAAAAUGCACAUGCUGUGAGCUCGAUGAGUAGGGCGGGACACGUGGUAUCCUGUCUGAAUAUGGGGGGACCAUCCUCCAAGGCUAAAUACUCCUGACUGACCGAUAGUGAACC
rnacentral:misc_RNA from 1 species